rnacentral:rRNA from 1 species
UACGUAGGGGGCAAGCGUUGUCCGGAAUCAUUGGGCGUAAAGAGCGUGUAGGCGGUCCGGUAAGUCCGCUGUGAAAGUCGGGGGCUCAACCCUCGAAUGCCGAUGGAUACUGUGAAGCUAGAGUACGGAAGAGGCGAGUGGAAUUCCUGGUGUAGCGGUGGAAUGCGCAGAUAUCAGGAGGAACACCAAUGGCGAAGGCAGCUCUCUGGUACAUGAUUGACGCUGAGACGCGAAAGCGUGGGGAGCAAACGGG